GGUCUGCCGAUACGCUUGAUCACCAAGCCUCGCGCCCACUCAUCAAGUGCAAACCCACGUAUCUCCUCCCGGUGCGGGUCGGGUGCUCAUGCCUUCGUUAACCCUCCCACAACCACGAGCGCAGCACCCCCCAACACCACCAAGUUUGCACCCAGCAUCGCGCACAUGUCAAAUCCGAAUUCAUCCGAUAUUUGUGAGUAGACGUCUCUUCUGCGCCUGCCUGGG
rnacentral:lncRNA from 1 species